CUGGGGCUCGAGGCAGGUUUGGGGAGCCCAGGGUUUUACCAGGUCCUGUUGCGGGCAGGGGGCUCCUCGGGCAGCUCCUGGGGUCUUGAGCCCACCCCUGGCCUGAGCAGCCAGCCGUGUGGGGCUAAGGGGCUGCCGCCCCUUCCCCGUGCCCCACCCAGCCAUCCACCCGCCCUCCCGGGGGUUCCCUACAGCCUGGGUGGGAGCUGCCGUCUGGGCUUCAGGCCCACGGUGCUGUCCAGGGCCCAAGCUCACCCUGCCUCUCCCGUGACCCCAGGGGCGCUGGUGUCUGGCCACUGCCCCGCCCCCAGCCUCUUCUAGGAAUGCCUGGCAGGGCUGCAGGCGCCUGUUUGCUUUUGCCCUGCGCCAUCCUCGGGGAGUGUGUGGGGGUGGCCUGGCCAUGGGAGCCAGGUCUUGUGCCUCAGACAAGCCUCACCUGCCCCUUGCUGUCCCCCAAGGCUCUGGUGAGGGCCUGGCCGCCCCACAGUCACCGCUUGUGUGCAGAGAGGCCACAGGAAUGUGUGCCCAGCCAUGUCCGAGGCCACCCCUGGGCUCCGUCUCCACCUGCCUCCAGAGGCCCCUGGUUCCCCUCCACCUGCUCAAACCACUUCCCAGCCAGUCGCUCUCUCCCCCAGGGCCUGAGCAGGUGCAGCCCCUCCCCUCCAGGUCCCUGCAGGCCCCUCCCCUGGCUGUCAGUGGGGCCUGCCCACCAGUCCCUCGGCAGUGGGAAAGUGUGCAGGGAAGCAGCCGGAAGGGGUGCAGGCGGGGGCACAGCUGGGGCUCAGGGAGACCGCAGCUUUCCAGGGCCCUACCCCAUCCUCAGCUCCGGCCUCACCUGGCAGGCCCCGUGCAGAGCUGUGGGAAGCCGCCGGCCCAGUGUCAUCGUCUUCCCUUUAUCAAGAAUUGAUCAUUUUCCAGGUGGCGUCUCGGCUCCUCUUCUGAGAAAUUAUAGAUCCACGGGGAGAAAGUCCACACCCAGAAAGACCCACGAUCCGUUUACUCAGCAGAAAACGCAGACUCAGCAGGGGCCUGGGGCCUGAGGCCAGCAGACCUGGGCGGCGGCCUCUCAGGAGAGGUCCCCGUGGGGGCCCCAGCCUCUGUCAGGCCGCGCACCCCACCUGGGAGCCCCGCACAUUCCAGAGGGAACCAUCGUCACCCACCAUGAAUUACGCUGCCACCUGUGUUUCUCACGGAUGCUAUGGGAGGCAGAAUAGUGCUUACCGCAAAGAUGGCCACAUUCUAACCCCUGGGCCCUGGGAUGAUGUGAGGCCACACCAACAAGAGGAGGUGCCAAUUUCAGGUCAGUUCCCCAAAAUGGAGUAGCAUGGCUUUUCCAGGUGAACCUGGGGAAUUGCGCGGUCCUUAAAAGCAGAGGAGGAGUUGCCUUGAGGCACGGAGGACUCGACCUGCUGUUGCUGGCUUUGAAGAUGGCAGGAAGGGCCACGAGCCAAGGGUGCCUGUGGAAAGGAUGGGGAUACAGAGCCUCCCCCAGGGCCUCUGCAGGGAACGCAACCCUGCCCACACCUUCCUUUUAGUCCCACGAGACCCAUGUCAAACUACCGACCUCCAAACCGCAAGGUACACUUGGGUUUUAGUUUUUGGGUUUUUUUUUUUUUUUGAGAUGGAGUAUUGCUCUGUUACCCAGGCUGGAGUGCAGUGGCACGAUCUUGGGUCACUGCAACCUCCACCUCCUGGGUUCAAGCACUUCUCUGGUCUCAGCCUCCCAAGUAGCUGGGAUUACAGGCAUGUGCCACCACACCUGGCUAAUUUUUGUAUUUUUAGUAGAGAUGGGGUUUCGCCAUGUUGGCCAGGCUUGUCGUGAACUCCUGACCUCAAGUGAUUCACCCGCCUCAGCAUCCCAAAGUGUUGGGAUGACAGGUGUGAGCCAUACCUGGCCUAAACUUGUGUUGUUUUAAAUCACUGAGGUGGCGGUGACGUAUCCCAGCAGCAAUUGGAACCUAACACAGAUGGCCUUUUCCAGCUGGGGACUUCCCCUUCUGUUCCUGGGUUGUGAGAUUCUUUAUCAGGAACAGGUGUGGGACUUUUGUCCUGUGCUUUUCUGCAUUGAUUGAGAUGGAUCUUGUGGGUGCUUUUUUUUUUUUUUUUUUUUUUUUUUUUUGGAAACAGGCUCUGGCUGUGUUUCCCAGGCUAGAGUGCAGUGGCACAAUCUCAGCUCAUUGAACUUGUGCCUCCUGGGCGCAAAUGAUCCUCUGGUUUCAGCCUUGUGAGUAGCUAAGACCAUAAGCAUGCACUCCCAUCCAUGCCUGGCUAAUUUUUGUUUUUUUUGUUUGUUUGUUUAUUUUGGUAGAGACAGGGUUUCGCUAUAUUGCCCAGGCUAGUCUUGAACUCCUGGGCUCAAGCAAUCCAUCCACCUCAGCCUCCCAAAGUGCUGGGAUUACAGGCAUCUGUUUUUCUGUUAAUGUGGCUUAUGACGUUAAGUGCUUUGUAGAUGUUUAAGCAACCUCACUUUGCUGUGAUACACCCACC